AGGUAUGUGGCGUAAUGGUUUGAAUGUUGGACUAUAAUCCUAGAGACCAGGGUUCAAUUCCCAGCUUGGCCA